UAAUCUAUUUGGGGCAGAUCCUCAUUUAGUUAUGACAGACUUACACCUGAUUUCUUAGAAUCACUCGUUAUCACAAGCCCGAUUAUAUCAUUGACAUUGAAAAACAGAAAAUAAUUAUUGUGUGAAUGUUAGUGAGCCA
rnacentral:pre_miRNA from 13 species